GAUGAACGCUGGCGGCGUGCCUAAUACAUGCAAGUCGAGCGAAUGGAUUAAGAGCUUGCUCUUAUGAAGUUAGCGGCGGACGGGUGAGUAACACGUGGGUAACCUGCCCAUAAGACUGGGAUAACUCCGGGAAACCGGGGCUAAUACCGGAUAACAUUUUGAACCGCAUGGUUCGAAAUUGAAAGGCGGGUUCGGCUGUCACUUAUGGAUGGAACCGCGUCGCAUUAGCUAGUUGGUGAGGUAACGGCUCACCAAGGCAACGAUGCGUAGCCGACCUGAGAGGGUGAUCGGCCACACUGGGACUGAGACACGGCCCAGACUCCUACGGGAGGCAGCAGUAGGGAAUCUUCCGCAAUGGACGAAAGUCUGACGGAGCAACGCCGCGUGAGUGAUGAAGGCUUUCGGGUCGUAAAACUCUGUUGUUAGGGAAGAACAAGUGCUAGUUGAAUAAACUGGCACCUUGACGAUACCUAACCAGAAAGCCACGGCUAACUACGUGCCAGCAGCCGCCGUAA
rnacentral:rRNA from 1 species